GCUCCAACGGAGCGCGGCGGGCCCGACGAUUGUCCUCAUAAAUUGUGUGUGUGUCGGGGUGCAGAGGGGCUAAGUGAGCAGUAAAUAACAAAGGGUCCUGCCGCCAUCCGCUCACCGUCGCCACGUUUCCGGCCACGCAAGAUUACCCAGGAUGCCCCUGGAGGGGUGUCUUCUUCCUCUGUGUGAUGAAUGGACAGGAGGAGGGAGGAACAUGCCUUUGCCACCCAGCGUCUGACAGAGAAAAGCCUUCAUGGACUCUUUCUGGCCUCAUACGGCUGGUGUAUCAGUGCAGAGGAAGGCAGCGUCCCCUGGCUAGAGGUGACCCCCUGGACCCUAUUAACAUCACACAUUCUCUGAGUGGCCAAAACACCCCCGAAAUGAAGUCCCCUCUCCCCCAUCGUUGCCAGAGCGCACUGCUGGUGCUUUUUAUGGCCUCUUGGCUUUCUAAGGUAGUGGGUGGGAUUUAAUAUGUGGUGGAGGAGGCAGAGUGAGGAGGUGAAACUAGACCUGCUCCGCAGUGCUCUCCGCAGCGCUAUCCCUGCCCUUAACGCUUCCCCUGGCUAUGGAGAAGGGAGUCUCGGAGAUAAUGCUGGACACUGAUACAUUCUGGCUGUAGCACAUAACGGCUGGGACAUGACAAUACUGCAUGACGGAGUGGUCACCAGAGAAGUGAGAAUUAUCAGGACUUGUGUUUGGUGGCAGGUAGAGAGCGGGAUCAGAGGUGCGAUUUGUGGGAGAGGCCUCACCUCAGGGAAAGACAAAAAUGUGCACAUUCCAACCAGUCGCUGAACCAAAAUAUGAAAAAGGACGGAGCAGAACACUCUUAAUAUUACCCAAGUGUAAAUGUUAAUGUAUUUUUACAUCUUACCAGUGCAGUACAAACACUGUACGCCUGAGUUAAGUCAUCCAGUGCUAUCCAAUAUUUUGUGCUUGUACACCCUCUCCUCAGUGAUGUGUACCAGAACUUUCGUGCUGCUGGAACAGUGGAUGUUCUCCAGCUUCACUUUUUUCCCCACAUUGUUUGCAAUCCAAUAUUUUUCUUUUGCAGCAUUUGAACAACAAUGUAAAAUACAAAGGAACAGCAAUGUAAAAUACAGUGAUAAUGUGAGAAUAUGCUGUAAUACAUUAAAAAGUAAUCAGGCAUUUAUCACGCAUAU